CGCGGUAUCUUGACCGUGUGAAGGUAGCGUAAUCAUUUGUCUUUUAAAUGAAGACCUGUAUGAAUGGCGUAACGAGAGCUUAACUGUCUCACUCUUUUAGUCAAUGAAAUUGAUCUCCCCGUGCAGAAGCGAGGAUAAACACAUAAGACGAAAAGACCCUAUGGAGCUUCAGAAUCUAAAGCAGCCCAAACAGUUAAACAAAAUACAGGACCCUGCUUUCACAUUUCUUCGGUUGGGGCGACCAUGGAGAAAAACAAAACCUCCACGAAAAAAAUACCAAUAAUUGUAUGAAUUAACGAAACACAACUCUAAAUUCCAGAAUAUCUGUUUAUAAAUGAUCCGGCUUUGUCUUUAAGCCGACCAACGGAUCAAGUUACCCUAGGGAUAACAGCGCAAUCCCCUUCUAGAGCCCACAUCGACAAG
rnacentral:rRNA from 1 species